GGCAUGAUGGUUCGUGGUGGCAAAUUAUGGAGAGGCUUAUACGAUGAUGGAAGAAUGAUAUCGGAGAUACACCAAAGGAGAGAGUUGAGACAAUCAGAGGCUUUUAGCCGUUGGAGGACCAACUCGUGGACUUUAACCUGCUCGAGCGAUAUAUUAAACAGUUUUGGUUAGAGUUACUCCACGUGGUUUUCCGGCUAUUGCACGGAGUCGGGGGUUGACUGUUCGAGAUGUCGUCCGGCCUGUGGUGUGGAACGGUGUUUGGCCCAAAAGACUGUGAGAUGGGUUUUCCAACAAGUAGUAUAAUUCUAUGUUUAUUUGUGAAGCAGCUACAUAGUAAGUUGCAUGAACUCUCUUAUAUUUUACGCAUAAUAGUUAUAUUUUCGUUUCCUGCAGAAAAUGACUCGAUUCAUGCAAUGGUAUCUGUCACCAGCUUUCGUGAGAACUCGAAAUUCUUCAGACAGAACAGCAGAGCCAUGUCGGAGCUGCAUUUAUGUCUCUCCUAAUUUCAGUAUAAAACGAAUAAAUAAAAGCUCCGGGUUUAUUCUCUACGGAAGAACACUAUGCUCCAUUGCCUUUGUUUUUAUUUAUUUAUUUAUUUAUUU